rnacentral:rRNA from 1 species
AGACGGAGGGUGCAAACGUUAUUCGGAAUCACUGGGCAUAAAGAGCACGUAGGUGGCCAGGUCAGUCUGUUGUGAAAGCCCCCGGCUCAACCGGGGAACUGCAUCGGAUACUGCUUGGCUCGAGGACGGCAGGGGUGAGUGGAACUCCAGGUGGAGCGGUGAAAUGCGUAGAUAUCUGGAGGAACACCGGUGGCGAAAGCGGCUCACUGGGCCGUCCCUGACACUGAGGUGCGAAAGCUAGGGGAGCAAACGGGAUUAGAAACCCCGGUAGUCC